rnacentral:lncRNA from 1 species
CCUCUGCUGGCAUGCGGCAGUCGCGGCCGGCUAAUAGAGCUCUCGCCUGGAACUUCACUCAGAGCCUGCGUCUGGGCAGUGCCGCUGCGCUGCAACAGGGGACAGCUGGGUGUUCCUUCAGAGAAUUUUAGGGCAACGUGUGGACACGGCGUUUAGCUUGAUUCAAGCGCAACUGCGGGAAGCGGCCGCGGCUCAAGCACUGGAGCUCCUGGCCGCCCCAUGGGGGGCCCAGGUUGGCUCCUGGAGCCUCCUAAAGAGAAGCGUGACAGCUACUGUGAACAACUGUGUGUGUGUGGAUAUAUAAAAUAAAUCUAAGAAACAAAUUGUAACUGCAAAAAAGAGAACUUGAUUUGUAUUGAUAUGUUAUUAAAAUACCUGAU